UACGUAGGGUGCGAGCGUUGUCCGGAAUUAUUGGGCGUAAAGAGCUUGUAGGCGGUUUGUCGCGUCUGCUGUGAAAAUCCGGGGCUCAACCCCGGACUUGCAGUGGGUACGGGCAGACUAGAGUGUGGUAGGGGAGACUGGAAUUCCUGGUGUAGCGGUGAAAUGCGCAGAUAUCAGGAGGAACACCGGUGGCGAAGGCGGAUCUCUGGGCCAGUACUGACACUGGAGGAGCGAAAGCGUGGGGAGCGAACAGG
rnacentral:rRNA from 1 species